GACGAACGCUGGCGGCGUGCUUAACACAUGCAAGUCGAACGAUGAAGCCCAGCUUGCUGGGUGGAAGAGUGGCGAACGGGUGAGUAACACGUGAGUAACCUGCCUAUCACUCUGGGAUAAGCGCUGGAAACGGCGUCUAAUACUGGAUACGACCUAUCACCGCAUGGUGUGUGGGUGGAAAGAUUUAUCGGUGGUAGAUGGACUCGCGGCCUAUCAGCUUGGUGGUGAGGUAGUGGCUCAGCAAGGCGACGACUGGUAGCCGGCCUGGGAGGGUGAACGGGGACAGUGGGACUGAGACACGGCCCAGACUCCUACGGGAGGCAGCAGUGGGGAAUAUUGCACAAUGGGCGCAAGCCUGAUGCAGCAAGGCGGCGUGAGGGACGACGGCCUUCGGGUUGUAAACCUCUUUUAGUAGGGAAGAAGCGAAAGUGACGGUACCUGCAGAAAAAGCACCGGCUAACUACGUGCCAGCCGCCGCAGUAA
rnacentral:rRNA from 1 species